rnacentral:rRNA from 1 species
GACGAACGCUGGCGGCGUGCUUAACACAUGCAAGUCGAACGGAAAGGCCCUGCUUUUGUGGGGUGCUCGAGUGGCGAACGGGUGAGUACACGUGAGUAACCUGCCCUUGACUUUGGGAUAACUUCAGGAAACUGGGGCUAAUACCGGAUAGGAGCUCCUGCUGCAUGGUGGGGGUUGGAAAGUUUCGGCGGUUGGGGAUGGACUCGCGGCUUAUCAGCUUGUUGGUGGGGUAGUGGCUUACCAAGGCUUUGACGGGUAGCCGGCCUGAGCGGGUGACCGGCCACAUUGGGACUGAGAUACGGCCCAGACUCCUACGGGAGGCAGCAGUGGGGAAUAUUGCACAAUGGGCGGAAGCCUGAUGCAGCAACGCCGCGUGCGGGAUGACGGCCUUCGGGUUGUAAACCGCUUUCGCCUGUGACGAAGCGUGAGUGACGGUAAUGGGUAAAGAAGCACCGGCUAACUACGUG